GACGAAGGUGGCAAGCGUUACUCGGAAUUACUAGGUGUAAAGCGUGGGCAGGUGGUUUGGUAAGUCUGCUGUGAAAUCCCCAGGCUCAACUUGGGAACUGCAUCCGAUACUGGUUGGCUUGAAUCCGGGAGAGGGAUGCAGAAUUCCAGGUGUAGCGGUGAAAUGCGUAGAUAUCUGGAGGAAUACCGGUGGCGAAGGCGGCAUCCUGGACCGGCAUUGACGCUGAUCAGCGAAAGCCAGGGGAGCAAACGGG
rnacentral:rRNA from 1 species